rnacentral:tRNA from 1 species
GCAGGUGUGGUGUUAAUGGCAACACAGCAGUCUUGUAAACUGCCUAUGCGAGUACUCUUCGAGAACGCUUCGCGAACGAGUCUCGCCAUCUGCU